UCAUUUUAUUUUAAAUACUCGAGCAUUUCUGAGUUUGAAAUUCAGUAGGAAAUAUUACAUAUUGGGAAAAACCAAGACGACAUUGAUCAAUUUGCACGAGAAAGGACACUUGACACUGGGAUGUAUUGACUAUUGUUCAAAUGUGACGGUAUUUGUCGUUGAAACUCGGCGCGUACAGGUGAUCAGUGCGAAACCACCCGCAUUUGUCAUUAGCUCUAAUGAUGCACAGUUGCACAACUUUUUAAAGCAUGCUUUUAGAGGUACGGCGUGGAAACAAGUAAACUUUAUAACUCCAUCGUGAUGAACAGCAAAGAUCGGGUAGAGUAGAUCUGGUUAUGUUUUGGCAGAGGGCCACCAUGGAUACAAAUCAAAUUUUGGAAUAUGCCGAAAUGGAGACUGCUUAGCUACUUGAUUUAUUUACUUUGGAUGAUGAGUGUUGAAGCCUAUAGAUCCAGCAAGAUUUGGUGGAGUUUUUUUUUCUAAAUUUCUGCAGUGGAAUGAUAAACUGGACUAGAACUUUUUAUCUGUUUAUAUAGUGAAUAAGUGCAGACAUUGUUAUCCAUGAAGGUCUUCAGUUGAACCACAGUGCAUGCACACUGUAGGCAGAUAUUUCCAUUGAAGCCAUAAAAUUGUUUCCACAGACAAUUCUUUCACAGAUUCUUUGUUUACAUGUUCUAAUUCCAAGCAGUCCUGGACCAGCCAGAAGAAUUCAAAAUAUCCAUCUACCUUGAUUUGGCUGAAGUAGCUCCCCAUAAUUUGAAUAAUAUUUAAACAUCUUGAUACUUUAUUUCAAAUUCUAUAUCAGUCAACUCUUGAAAAAAAAAACAAUUUUGAUUAUAGUUCAUAUUUGUUUAUAAACAUUGUUAUUCUGGGCUCUGUGUCACUGUCAAUUAUAUUUUAUUAUAAAAUUGUGAAUUACUAUAUGUAAAAAUAACUUAUCACUGCUGGCAUUAAUUGUAAAUGAUAAAAAGUAAUGGGACAUACUUGUCUUGUCGAUGGUUCUAUUA